rnacentral:lncRNA from 9 species
CCUGAUUCCUACAAAUUUUAACAAGCGCCACCUUUGAUGGGAGACUCGCAAGCGCUAAUGAGCUUCUUUGCCGACAGGUGGAGAGAGGGCCUCGGACCCACAGUCAGAGGCACAGUCUGCAGGCUGGGGGAGCAGACGCUAUUUAUAAAGCUUCUCUCCGGGGUCGGUCACCGGCGGUCAAAGCCUGGGAGCUCCUCUGCCCGGGCCACUCCCGAUGCUCUGGGUGUACGCGGAGCCACGGUCCCCUCUCCCUUCGCCAGUGCCCUGAGGCGGAUGGAUCCGGUAUGGAGCUCUCUCAUUAUUCCCAUUUCUUGGCUUGUUGAGAAUGUGUUUCUUCCGUUGUGCAGUGAGGUGUGGCCCCCAUGGGGCCCCUACCCAGUAUUUGUGCGAGGGUGACGCGCUGCAAAAGAGGUGGUUUCUUCUUGAGAUGUCACACAAACUACAGGACUUAAUGAGGCCCAUGUGCCGGGACUAAGAAACGUCGUUUCUUGCCGCAUGUCAUUAGUGAAAGCUCGCCUAUCCAUACAUUGAAAUGGAGACAGAGCUGCCCAUUAGGUGGGGAGCUAAGCGCACUGUGCAGGAAGGUGGGAGUGGGGGGCUUGUGUGGGACUCAGCUUUGCUGGCCUGCUGGAAGCCCCAACGAGCUGCUCCCUGCUCUCUCCUUGCCAGACGGGAGCGGCCACCGACCAGAACCAAGUGGAACUGCAUUAAAGCGAAGAUGCAAGAAAUGAUUGGGCUUAGCAUUCUUUCUCUGCUUGGCUGGAAGCUUCUCAAGAGCCAGGGGGGCUGCCUGAGAUCAGGGACCAUGCCAGCUGGGCAUCUGUUUGCCGCCCAGGACUUACUCUCCUCUGAGAAACAGCUCAUCAAACAUCCUCUGGGAACCUCCUUCUGCAUCAGCCUGGUGCCUCGUGUGGAAUUGACACCUAUGCCCGGCUCCAGUUGUGGAGCUUAAGUUAACCAGCAUCCCUCACCUCCAUUCUCCCUGUCACAGUGAUUGGCUCAGGGCUGACAUGUGACUUAGGUGGGUCCCAUCAGACGGAACCUCAAGGCUUCCCCUGGAAAUGAUGAGCCCUGUCCUUUUUCCCCUGCUGCACAUGUAGACUCCUAGGAUACUGGAAGCCACCCAGGACAGAUGCGGGUGAGGAUUAGAUGCUGGCGAGUCUGGCCAGCAAUGGAGCCAAGCAGAGCUAGGACAUGGAGAGAAAGAAACAAAGUCCUGGCCACAUGAUUUGAGCCCCUGGAUCAAGCAUUGCCUGAAACUAGAGCUCCCUUUAGACGUGUCAGUUACUUGGACGAAUAAAUCCCCUUUAUAUUUAAACCAGCUUGAGGGUUUGUUUUGCUGUUGUUGCUACUUACAACUAAGAAACAUCCUGAUUUCAAACUCAGCUGUAUCACUGCUGUCUCUGCAGGGCUCAGCACAGCACCUCACGCUUCGCUGUGGGUAAAGGGAGAACAGAGGUUCUGGGUGAGAAAUCUGGGGACUGGCAACCAUGAGGCCUGGCACAGGGAAGGCCCUGGAAAUGCUCAGCUCUCUACUGUGGUACCUGGAAAGGCUAGUUCUACUUCUUUCUCCCUUCUUCCUACUCAAGGGCUGGUCAGACAUCCCUCCCCCAGUCCCCCUGGACACUGCAAAUCCAAAAACUCCUCUUUCUGGCUAAGACUCAAUCCUCAACUCUCAGUCCCAUUUGCAGACUCAUCCCUGACUCACUUCAUUCAACCCCAACCUGCCUUAGCAGAUCUAGUAACUCAGAGCUGGUUAGGGACCAGCACAGAUUUAGGGCACUGUCUACUUGCCUUAAAAAAAAAAAAAAAAUCCAGACUGUGAUUGGCUCUUCUAUGCACACUCAGAAUGAAUUCUGUACCCCAUUGAUGUUAGCAAUGUUGCUAUUCUUGUUGUUGGAAUCCCAGAAUUUGAGAAAGAAACAAAGAGGUCAUCUAGAUCGACCGUCUCCCAGGAUAUGGGGUCUCGCCUGCCUUGGCUUGAACAAGCCCAGGGACCGGCUGCUCCAUCCUUUGCGAAGCAGGCAUAUUGUCAGACAGCUCAGAUUGUUAGAAAGUUCUUCCUGAAAUUGAGCUGGAAUCUGCUUCCUUGUCAUUCCACCUAGUCCUGGCUCUGCCAUCUGGAGUCGCUGGCAUCAGCCUGAUCCCUCCCCCGCGUGGCAGCCAUUGGGAUAUAUGAGGACAGCUCUCAUGUCCCCAAAGUCUGCUUGACUCCAGGCAGAGCACCCCUUGUGCC